GAUGAACGCUAGCGGCAGGCCUAACACAUGCAAGUCAGGGGUAACAUGAAAAGCUUGCUUUUCUGAUGACGACCGGCGCACGGGUGCGUAACGCGUAUACAACCUACCUUUUAGCGGGGAAUAGCCCAGGGAAACUUGGAUUAAUGCCCCAUAGUAUAUAGACUUCUCCUGAAGUUUAUAUUAAACAUUUAUGGCUAUUAGAUGGGUAUGCGUCCUAUUAGUUAGUUGGUAAGGUAACGGCUUACCAAGGCAGCGAUAGGUAGGGGUCCUGAGAGGGAGAUCCCCACACUGGUACUGAGACACGGACCAGACUACCUACGGGAGGCAGCAGUGAGGAAUAUUGGACAAUGGGCGAGAGCCUGAUCCAGCCAUGCCGCGUGCAGGAAGACUGCCCUAUGGGUUGUAAACUGUCUUUUACAGAGGAAGAACCCACCCCCACGUGUGGGGGUUUGACGGUACUCUGCGAAUAAGGAUCGGCUAACUCCGUG
rnacentral:rRNA from 1 species